rnacentral:rRNA from 1 species
UCAAGUGAAGAAGCGCAUACGGUGGAUGCCUUGGCAGUCAGAGGCGAUGAAAGACGUGGUAGCCUGCGAAAAGCUUCGGGGAGUCGGCAAACAGACUUUGAUCCGGAGAUGUCUGAAUGGGGGAACCCAGCCAUCAUAAGAUGGUUACCUUACACUGAAUACAUAGGUGUAAGGGGCGAACCAGGGGAACUGAAACAUCUAAGUACCCUGAGGAAAAGAAAUCAACCGAGAUUCCCUUAGUAGUGGCGAGCGAACGGGGACUAGCCCUUAAGUGGCUUUGAGAUUAGCGGAACGCUCUGGAAAGUGCGGCCAUAGUGGGUGAUAGCCCUGUACGCGAAAAUCUCUUAGUCAUGAAAUCGAGUAGGACGGAGCACGAGAAACUUUGUCUGAAUAUGGGGGGACCAUCCUCCAAGGCUAAAUACUACUGACUGACCGAUAGUGAACUAGUACCGUGAGGGAAAGGCGAAAAGAACCCCGGAGAGGGGAGUGAAAUAGAUCCUGAAACCGUAUGCGUACAAGCAGUGGGAGCCCACUUUGUUGGGUGACUGCGUACCUUUUGUAUAAUGGGUCAGCGACUUAUUUUCAGUGGCGAGCUUAACCGAAUAGGGGAGGCGUAGCGAAAGCGAGUCUUAAUAGGGCGUCUAGUCGCUGGGAAUAGACCCGAAACCGGGCGAUCUAUCCAUGGGCAGGUUGAAGGUUGGGUAACACUAACUGGAGGACCGAACCGACUACCGUUGAAAAGUUAGCGGAUGACCUGUGGAUCGGAGUGAAAGGCUAAUCAAGCUCGGAGAUAGCUGGUUCUCCUCGAAAGCUAUUUAGGUAGCGCCUCAUGUAUCACUGUAGGGGGUAGAGCACUGUUUCGGCUAGGGGGUCAUCCCGACUUACCAAACCGAUGCAAACUCCGAAUACCUACAAGUGCCGAGCAUGGGAGACACACGGCGGGUGCUAACGUCCGUCGUGAAAAGGGAAACAACCCAGACCGUCAGCUAAGGUCCCAAAGUUAUGGUUAAGUGGGAAACGAUGUGGGAAGGCUUAGACAGCUAGGAGGUUGGCUUAGAAGCAGCCACCCUUUAAAGAAAGCGUAAUAGCUCACUAGUCGAGUCGGCCUGCGCGGAAGAUGUAACGGGGCUCAAACCAUACACCGAAGCUACGGGUAUCACGUAAGUGAUGCGGUAGAGGAGCGUUCUGUAAGCCUGUGAAGGUGAGUUGAGAAGCUUGCUGGAGGUAUCAGAAGUGCGAAUGCUGACAUGAGUAACGACAAUGGGUGUGAAAAACACCCACGCCGAAAGACCAAGGUUUCCUGCGCAACGUUAAUCGACGCAGGGUUAGUCGGUCCCUAAGGCGAGGCUGAAAAGCGUAGUCGAUGGAAAACAGGUUAAUAUUCCUGUACUUCUGGUUAUUGCGAUGGAGGGACGGAGAAGGCUAGGCCAGCUUGGCGUUGGUUGUCCAAGUUUAAGGUGGUAGGCUGAGAUCUUAGGUAAAUCCGGGAUCUUAAGGCCGAGAGCUGAUGACGAGUUGUCUUUUAGAUGACGAAGUGGUUGAUGCCAUGCUUCCAAGAAAAGCUUCUAAGCUUCAGGUAACCAGGAACCGUACCCCAAACCGACACAGGUGGUUGGGUAGAGAAUACCAAGGCGCUUGAGAGAACUCGGGUGAAGGAACUAGGCAAAAUGGCACCGUAACUUCGGGAGAAGGUGCGCCGGUGAGGGUGAAGGACUUGCUCCGUAAGCCCAUGCCGGUCGAAGAUACCAGGCCGCUGCGACUGUUUAUUAAAAACACAGCACUCUGCAAACACGAAAGUGGACGUAUAGGGUGUGACGCCUGCCCGGUGCCGGAAGGUUAAUUGAUGGGGUUAGCUAACGCGAAGCUCUUGAUCGAAGCCCCGGUAAACGGCGGCCGUAACUAUAACGGUCCUAAGGUAGCGAAAUUCCUUGUCGGGUAAGUUCCGACCCGCACGAAAGGCGUAACGAUCUGGGCACUGUCUCAACGAGAGACUCGGUGAAAUUAUAGUACCUGUGAAGAUGCAGGUUACCCGCGACAGGACGGAAAGACCCCGUGGAGCUUUACUGUAGCCUGAUAUUGAAUUUUGGUACAGCUUGUACAGGAUA